rnacentral:rRNA from 1 species
GUGGGGAAUCUUAGACAAUGGGCGCAAGCCUGAUCUAGCCAUGCCGCGUGAUCGAUGAAGGCCUUAGGGUUGUAAAGAUCUUUCAGUGGGGAAGAUAAUGACUGUACCCACAGAAGAAGCCCCGGCUAACUCCGUGCCAGCAGCCGCGGUAAUACGGAGGGGGCUAGCGUUGUUCGGAAUUACUGGGCGUAAAGCGCACGUAGGCGGACCGGAAAGGCAGAGGUGAAAUCCCAGGGCUCAACCUUGGAACUGCCUUUGAAACUCCUGGUCUUGAGGUCGAGAGAGGUGAGUGGAAUUCCGAGUGGAGAGGUGAAAUUCGUAGAUAUUCGGAGGAACACCAGUGGCGAAGGCGGCUCACUGGCUCGAUACUGACGCUGAGGUGCGAAAGCGUGGGGAGCAAACAGGAUUAGAAACCCGUGUAGUCC